AUUGAACGCUGGCGGUAUGCUUAACACAUGCAAGUCGAACGGAAACGAUACUAGCUCGCUAGUAGGCGUCGAGUGGCGGACGGGUGAGUAACGCGUAGGAAUCUGCCUGAUAGUGGGGGAUAGCCCGGAGAAAUUCGGUAUUAAUACCGCAUAAUCUAUUCGUAGUAAAGUGGGGGACUUUCGAGCCUCACGCUAUCAGAUGAGCCUGCGUAAGAUUAGCUUGUUGGUAGGGUAGAAGCCUACCAAGGCGACGAUCUUUAGCUGGUCUGAGAGGAUGAUCAGCCACAUCGGGACUGAGACACGGCCCGAACUCCUACGGGAGGCAGCAGUGGGGAAUAUUGGACAAUGGGGGCAACCCUGAUCCAGCAAUACCGCGUGUGUGAAGAAGGCCUGAGGGUUGUAAAGCACUUUCAAUUGUGAAGAAAAGUUAACGGUUAAUAACCGUUAGCCUUGACGUUAACUUUAGAAGAAGCACCGGCUAACUCCGUGCCAGCAGCCGCGGUAAUACGGAGGGUGCAAGCGUUAAUCGGAAUUACUGGGCGUAAAGCGUGCGUAGGCGGUUUAUUAAGUCAGAUGUGAAAGCCCCGGGCUUAACCUGGGAACUGCAUUUGAAACUGGUAAACUAGAGUAUGGUAGAGGAAAGUGGAAUUUCUGGUGUAGCGGUGAAAUGCGUAGAUAUCAGAAGGAACAUCAAUGGCGAAGGCAGCUUUCUGGACCAAUACUGACGCUGAGGUACGAAAGCGUGGGUAGCAAACAGGAUUAGAUACCCUGGUAGUCCACGCCGUAAACGAUGAUAACUAGCCGUUGGGGGGAUUUACCCUUUAGUGGCGAAGCUAACGCGUUAAGUUAUCCGCCUGGGGAGUACGGCCGCAAGGUUAAAACUCAAAGGAAUUGACGGGGACCCGCACAAGCGGUGGAGCAUGUGGUUUAAUUCGAUGCAACGCGAAGAACCUUACCUGGUCUUGACAUCCUGCGAACUUUCUAGAAAUAGAUUGGUGCCUUCGGGAACGCAGUGACAGGUGCUGCAUGGCUGUCGUCAGCUCGUGUCGUGAGAUGUUGGGUUAAGUCCCGUAACGAGCGCAACCCCUAUCCUUAUUUGCCAGCACAUUAUGGUGGGAACUAUAAGGAGACUGCCGGUGAUAAACCGGAGGAAGGCGGGGACGACGUCAAGUCAUCAUGGCCCUUACGACCAGGGCUACACACGUGCUACAAUGGGAAGGACAAAGAGCCGCGAAGCCGCGAGGUGUAGCUAAUCUCAUAAACCUUUUCGUAGUCCGGAUUGGAGUCUGCAACUCGACUCCAUGAAGUCGGAAUCGCUAGUAAUCGUAGAUCAGAAUGCUACGGUGAAUACGUUCCCGGGUCU
rnacentral:rRNA from 1 species